CAGGAUCCACACCGGACAGUUGAUUCAUUAGAGGAUACUUCUAGUGAUUUGUUGUUCACGAAGAGAAGGAGUCGAGGCCCCACACGAUGCCAUCAAGUUUGGAACAUGCGUGAAGGGCAACGCAUUUUUAUUACCACCAACAAUCUAGGGCAGCUCGUUAAUGAAAAUGUUAGCAAGCUGACAAAUUUUUUAGGGACAAUAGCAUGUAAUGGGGAUUACGCACCCCUUACAUAUUCUAAUUGGAGGGUAGUGCCAAACGAGAAGAAGGAUGAUAUAUACGAACUUUUCAUGUCCAAGUUUCAGUUUGACAAAGAGAUUAAAUCUUGGGUGUUGAUGUCAAUUGGAAAAAAAUGGAGGGACUGGAAGUGCGAACUGAAGAAAUUCCACUACUCGACUCAUGAUAAUGAUGAGGCGCGGCUAGCAGACCUCAAUGAGCAUGUCCAAAUGGAUCAGUGGA